rnacentral:lncRNA from 1 species
UGGAUCUGCUUUACCACAGGAAGCACCGACGAUAGCAAGACAUGAAGAUACUGUAACUUAUCCAGAACAGGUAUCUCGCGUAUCCGAACCUUAAUCCCAGAAAAACCAGAAAAUCACUAACAGGAAAAAAAUCUACACAUGCUAACACUUUAAAAGGCAUGCCUCAUCAAAUUUUAAGGUCCAAUUUGGAUAAUAGAAGCCCCCAUAAGCACCUUUAGGAGAAGGAAAUAAGGUAAGUUGGACGGAGCUUCUCUUAGAAGCUAAAAUCCACCUAUGCACUUAACUUUGUUAGAUGUUUUCUUAUUUUACUCCUCCAAAAGUUAAAAUGCAUAAGUUAAUUUUAGCUGAUAGAAGAAGCUUAUCUCAGUUUAGCAGCUAAUGAUCUUCUUUCAUAGUGUUAAUGAGAAAUUUAUUCAAACGGAAUUUUAAAUUUGAAACAAACAAAAAUACCUUAAUAGAAUUAUCACUCCGCAAGCAAGUCUUGCAAUUACAUAUACCACGGCAAGCAGGACAUAUCCUCUGAAUUUCAUCCAACGAAAUGUCCGAGUACCUAAAAACAAGUAAACCAUAACUAACAAUGACAAUAUAACUGAAAGAGUUAUUAUCCCUUGUCAUAACUAAAAUUCCAUGCUCACCAUGCUGAUAUACAGCUAUCACAGUAUCCCCUCCUGUCACAUCUUAAGCACCAAGUAACUCUAUCUCGGUCAUUCCUCCGGCACUGAUGACAAGUCUGCCCGCCGGUGUCUUCAGAAGAACCAGAGGUUCUGUCGGAAUAUUCCUGCUACACAACACAACUUUCCAAAUUCAGCACAGUACACUACACUUGCAUCAAAAUCACCCACCCAAACAGAACCCAAAAUGAACUCACAGUAGUGGCAUUAGCAUCCAAGCUCCUUCGCGAUCUUUUGCGCGAGGAGUCCGGCGGGGAAUCAUAGGAGACCCAAUUGUCUUCUUCAUAGAGCGCCACAUCAGCAUCCGCAUCCGCAUCCGCAUCCGCAUCCACAUCCACAUCCACAUCCGCAUCCACAUCCACAUCCGCAUCCACAUCCACAUCCGCAUCCGCAUCCGCAUCCACAUCCACCUCGUCAUGAGCAUGUCUCGCAGAGGAGGCUCUUCGCGCGUCACGCUCGGGCGUGUAACGAAACUGGUUCUUCGAGAGCUUCUUCUGCGAAAGGCUUAUAGCGGAGAGAGGAACGUCGAAAUCGUCG